CCAGACUUCCAUCAGGGCGGACCUUCAGCUGAUGAGGGCCGACAUCCAAGGUAUGGCGGACCGCAUGGCCCAAAUAGAGGCGGAUCAGGACUCCCUUACCGCAGCGCAAGCGGUCCAAGUCGCAAGCCACUCCAAGCAAACUGCCCAAAUGCAAGCAAUGGCCAGACAAAUAGAAGAUCUGGACAAUAGGGGCUGCAGACAGAACCUACGAAUAAGAGGCCUACAAGAAGGUGAAGACACACCCGCCCAUCUUCAACGAUCUCCUGAGCCGCCCCAGAGAGACCCCCAUAGAGUACGUCAGAGCCCACAGGGCACUGAGACCCAGGGGCCCGCCAGAGGCACCGCCUAGGAACGUGAUCUGCUGCCUAGCACUAUACUCCCUAAAAGAAGAAAUCCUGCAUGAAGCCCGCAACAGGGGAGAAAUCACCCACGAAGGC